CCCUUAGAUGUUCUGGGCCGCACGCGCGCUACACUGAUGCAUUCAACGAGCCUAUCCUUGACCGACAGGUCCGGGUAAUCUUUGAAUCUGCAUCGUGACGGGGAUAGAUUAUUGCAAUUAUUAAUCUUCAACGAGGAAUGCCUAGUAGGCGCAAGUCAUCAGCUUGCGUCGAUUACGUCCCUGCCCUUUGUACACACCGCCCGUCGCUCCUACCGAUUGGGUGUGCUGGUGAAAUGUUCGGAUCGGCCGUUUGUCGCGGUUUCCGCGUCUUGUGGCUGAGAAGUUCAUUAAACCCUCCCACCUAGAGGAAGGAGAAGUCGUAACA
rnacentral:rRNA from 1 species